rnacentral:rRNA from 1 species
GACGAACGCUGGCGGCGCGCCUAACACAUGCAAGUCGAACGGAGCUGAGAGAAGCUUGCUUGUCUUAGCUUAGGGGCGAACGGGUGAGUAACGCGUGAGUAACCUGCCCUGGAGUGGGGGACAACAGGGGGAAACGACUGCUAAUACCGCAUAAGCCCACGAUCCGGCGUCGGAGUGGGGGAAAAGGGUUUAUUCGCGUCGGGAUGGACUCGCGUCCAAUUAGCUAGUUGGUGAGGUAACGGCCCACCAAGGCGACGAUGGGUAGCCGGACUGAUAGGCGGCCCGGUCACGUUGGGACUGCGGCCCGGCCCAGACUCGUACGCGAGGGAGCAGUGGGGGGUAUUGCACGCUGGGGGCAGACCUGACGCCGCGGCGCCGCGGGGAGGAAGAAGGUUUUCGGAUUGUAAUCUCGUGUCGUACGGGGCGAUAAUGACGGUACCUAACAAGAAAGCACCGGCUAACUACGUG